rnacentral:misc_RNA from 1 species
UGGUUCUGGCAUCGAUGAAGAACGCAGCGAAAUGCGAUAAGUAAUGUGAAUUGCAGAAUUCAGUGAAUCAUCGAAUCUUUGAACGCACAUUGCACCCUCUGGUAUUCUGGGGGGUAUGCCUGUUCGAGCGUCAUUACAACCCUCAAGCACUGCUUGGUAUUGGAUGUCACCACCGUGGUUCAUCUCAAAGGUAUUGGCAAGGGCACUCAGCUUCUAGUGUAGUAGUUUUGACGCUUUGGAGUUUGGAUGCCUGUCUGCCUAGAACCCCUUAGUUUUCAAAGGUUGACCUCGGAUCAGGUAGGGAUACCCGCUGA